rnacentral:rRNA from 1 species
CAAAGGGAAGCGAAGCGGUGACGCUUGGCAAAUCCCAGAAAUAACGUCCCAGUUCGGAUUGUAGUCUGCAACCCGACUACAUGAAGCUGGAAUCGCUAGUAAUCGCGAAUCAGAAUGUCGCGGUGAAUACGUUCCCGGGUCUUGUACACACCGCCCGUCACACCAUGGGAGUCGGAAAUGCCCGAAGUCAGUGACCCAACCGCAAGGAGGGAGCUGCCGAAGGUGGAGCCGGUAACUGGGGUGAAGUCGUAACAAGGUACC